GACGAACGCUGGCGGCGUGCUUAACACAUGCAAGUCGAACGGAAAGGCCCUGCUUUUGUGGGGUGCUCGAGUGGCGAACGGGUGAGUAACACGUGAGUAACCUGCCCUUGACUUUGGGAUAACUUCAGGAAACUGGGGCUAAUACCGGAUAGGAGCUCCUGCUGCAUGGUGGGGGUUGGAAAGUUUCGGCGGUUGGGGAUGGACUCGCGGCUUAUCAGCUUGUUGGUGGGGUAGUGGCUUACCAAGGCUUUGACGGGUAGCCGGCCUGAGAGGGUGACCGGCCACAUUGGGACUGAGAUACGGCCCAGACUCCUACGGGAGGCAGCAGUGGGGAAUAUUGCACAGUGGGCGGAAGCCUGAUGCAGCAACGCCGCGUGCGGGAUGACGGCCUUCGGGUUGUAAACCGCUUUCGCCUGUGACGAAGCGUGAGUGACGGUAAUGGGUAAAGAAGCACCGGCUAACUACGUGCCAGCAGCCGCGGUGAUACGUAGGGUGCGAGCGUUGUCCGGAUUUAUUGGGCGUAAAGGGCUCGUAGGUGGUCGAUCGCGUCGGAAGUGUAAUCUUGGGGCUUAACCCUGAGCGUGCUUUCGAUACGGGUUGACUUGAGGAAGGUAGGGGAGAAUGGAAUUCCUGGUGGAGCGGUGGAAUGCGCAGAUAUCAGGAGGAACACCAGUGGCGAAGGCGGUUCUCUGGGCCUUUCCUGACGCUGAGGAGCGAAAGCGUGGGGAGCGAACGGGCUUAGAUACCCUGGUAGUCCACGCUGUAAACGGUGGGUACUAGGUGUGGGGUCCAUUCCACGGGUUCCGUGCCGUAGCUAACGCUUUAAGUACCCCGCCUGGGGAGUACGGCCGCAAGGCUAAAACUCAAAGGAAUUGACGGGGCCCCGCACAAGCGGCGGAGCAUGCGGAUUAAUUCGAUGCAACGCGUAGAACCUUACCUGGGUUUGACAUGGAUCGGGAGCGCUCAGAGAUGGGUGUGCCUCUUUUGGGGUCGGUUCACAGGUGGUGCAUGGCUGUCGUCAGCUCGUGUCGUGAGAUGUUGGGUUAAGUCCCGCAACGAGCGCAACCCUUGUUCACUGUUGCCAGCACGUUAUGGUGGGGACUCAGUGGAGACCGCCGGGGUCAACUCGGAGGAAGGUGGGGAUGACGUCAAGUCAUCAUGCCCCUUAUGUCCAGGGCUUCACGCAUGCUACAAUGGCUGGUACAGAGAGUGGCGAGCCUGUGAGGGUGAGCGAAUCUCGGAAAGCCGGUCUCAGUUCGGAUUGGGGUCUGCAACUCGACCUCAUGAAGUCGGAGUCGCUAGUAAUCGCAGAUCAGCAACGCUGCGGUGAAUACGUUCCCGGG
rnacentral:rRNA from 1 species